CUCGAUGUGUAUGAAGCAAGCUGCCUCUGCAUCAAGUGAGAGAAGAAGCCGCCACUGAAAAGCUUUUUGGACUGUCAUUUGAAGGACACAAAUGAAAGGGCAGGAAUUCUGCUCUGCGGCGUUGGCCUCACUAUUUAUUCAAGAAGCCCUCGGACACCACCAGAAUGUAUGAAAAUUAUAAACAGUAGGCACAGUUAUUCCUUGAUCGACCUGGCAUCAACAUCGCUCGAUGUGUAUGAAGCUGCAAGUGAGAGAAGAAGCCGCCACUGAACACCUUUUUGGACUGUCAUGACUCAAAUGAAAGGACAGGACUUCUACUCUGCUGGGUCGGCCUCACUACAUAUUCAAGAAGCCCUCGGACGUCAUCAGAAUGUAUUAAUGUGAAGAGGCAACAAGGGAGAGAUGAACGCUAUCAAAAAUGUGGAGAUGGAUCUGGCAGCCGACCGCUUUGGCACACACCCAACAAGAAACAAAACAAUAAAGAAUACUAAAAUGCAUAA